GUUUCAAUUCCUCAUAGGCAGGCUAUCGGCUCGAUAACUGGAAUAUCCUUUUCGUCUAGAACGGCAG
rnacentral:sRNA from 1 species